rnacentral:rRNA from 1 species
CCUACGGGCGGCAGCAGUGGGGAAUAUUGCACAAUGGGCGCAAGCCUGAUGCAGCCAUGCCGCGUGUGUGAAGAAGGCCUUCGGGUUGUAAAGCACUUUCAGCGGGGAGGAAGGCGGUGAGGUUAAUAACCUCAUCGAUUGACGUUACCCGCAGAAGAAGCACCGGCUAACUCCGUGCCAGCAGCCGCGGUAAUACGGAGGGUGCAAGCGUUAAUCGGAAUUACUGGGCGUAAAGCGCACGCAGGCGGUCUGUCAAGUCGGAUGUGAAAUCCCCGGGCUCAACCUGGGAACUGCAUUCGAAACUGGCAGGCUAGAGUCUUGUAGAGGGGGGUAGAAUUCCAGGUGUAGCGGUGAAAUGCGUAGAGAUCUGGAGGAAUACCGGUGGCGAAGGCGGCCCCCUGGACAAAGACUGACGCUCAGGUGCGAGAGCGUGGGGAGCAAACAGGAUUAGAUACCCCGGUAGUC